GAGACCUUCGGGUCUAGCGGCGGACGGGUGAGUAACGCGUGGGAACGUGCCCUUCUCUACGGAAUAGCCCCGGGAAACUGGGAGUAAUACCGUAUACGCCCUUUGGGGGAAAGAUUUAUCGGAGAAGGAUCGGCCCGCGUUGGAUUAGGUAGUUGGUGGGGUAAUGGCCCACCAAGCCGACGAUCCAUAGCUGGUUUGAGAGGAUGAUCAGCCACACUGGGACUGAGACACGGCCCAGACUCCUACGGGAGGCAGCAGUGGGGAAUCUUAGACAAUGGGGGCAACCCUGAUCUAGCCAUGCCGCGUGAGUGAUGAAGGCCUUAGGGUUGUAAAGCUCUUUCAGCUGGGAAGAUAAUGACGGUACCAGCAGAAGAAGCCCCGGCUAACUCCGUGCCAGCAGCCGCGGUAAUACGGAGGGGGCUAGCGUUGUUCGGAAUUACUGGG
rnacentral:rRNA from 1 species